UUCUCGAAAGGGGCGCAUGGGGUGCUUGUUUAGAUUGCGAAAGGGCGCUAACAGUCAAUCUUUAAACUCAAUAAAUAAUACUUUGGAAUAUUUUACAUAUAUUUUGCUGGUUCGAAUCCCGCGGCGGACGCUCUAAAAUUCUAAGUGUAAAUAUGGGUAUCCGGCGCCGUCGCUCUGUGCCUUACUCAAACAGGGCGGCGAAGUCCUUGUAGUUAAAAGGAUGACAGUGGCUGGUCUAGUCCCGGGUGACAGAUAUAAAGUCAACUUCGUUUUUUAUAUAUUUUACAUUGGUGCAACAAGAGACUACACUUUUUGAAUUGGUGCUGCAAAUCGUGUUGAAUAGCACCAUGAAAGGGGGGCGUUAAUUCGGAGUUUGAGCGAAUUUGAGAUUUUUGCGCAAAUGAGAGUUUUGGCGUAAAUCGUGUAACAUUUCAUGUGUCACAUACUGUAAAACGAUAUAAAAAUAAUGCGCCUGCAAGUAGACUGCAAACAACUGAACCCUUUUGAUUUGAUUGUGUGCACAUACACAUGUAGUAUACCACUGCUUUGAUCUACUUUUGAUAUCACGACGAGAUUGAAAUGAUAUCUACAAUUGAAAUUAAAACCGUGUUCGUGUGUUUUAAUUUCCUGCGUCGCAAAAGAAUCUGAUUGGUUGAUUCAAGGUCAACUAGGUACAAUUAUCACGGCUCGAGGAACUCUAUAAAGCUGAGUCGAAAAACCGACGCUUCACUUUAGUUGGAGUGCUUUUACGAAACGGUUUUGCUUUUUUCGAACAGUUUAAUUUCGGUGAAAAGUUUUAAGUGGAAUUAGUUCUGGUGAUUGUGAUACUCUUUCUGGAAAAGCACAAUCAAAGCUUUGAAGAAUAGUUCCCCCCAGAACAAGCAAAGGUUAUGCGAACCCUUUGCACGUGUCAGGUUGCCCAUUAACGUGGGUGCAAGUCUCGGGGCAGAAAAGCCGUACAUUUCGUCGUUCGACGCUGGGAAAGCUUCGUUGGUCAGACUGGUGGAUGAAAACCACGACGGGGUCGUGACGAACCGUUUCAACCGCCUUAGUCAACUCCAACGACUCGGAGACGCAUCUACUCCGCCCACCCAGUUGACCCCACACGUCCUUUUCGAAGCAAUCCCAGAGCUUGGAGGAAUUUCCGAGCUUUCGAGCACGCCAAAAGCUCGCCGGCUGCCCAGCCGAUUCUAACCUCGCUUGCCCGACCGAAGGAAGUGCGAGGAACGAGACAAAAGCCUGACAGCAGCAGUACCAUCCGUCUCCACGGAUACGAAACAACGUUGGACCGAGCGUCCCCAUCAAGAACGUCGCCGUGAGACGGCCACGUGUAAACGUUGGUUCCGCUAGAACGUGUCGACGCCCAUCGCUGUGCCACGUGUCCACGGUGGAGUACUGCUAGCCGCCGCUAGAGUGCGGUAGGGUUGCGCGAACGCACCGGAGCUGUUUGAUCGCUGAUCGUCGCAGUAGGUCCGGACCUAGGAAAAUCUUCACGCCGUUCAAGAACACCUGCAAGCAGUUGCUGGUACCAGAUUAGUAGGGUAAAGUACAGUGCACGACAAUAGGGAAUAGUUUUUGCUAGAUUUAAGAUCUAAACCCCCCUU